rnacentral:rRNA from 1 species
CCUACGGGUGGCAGCAGUGAGGAAUAUUGGUCAAUGGACGAGAGUCUGAACCAGCCAAGUAGCGUGAAGGAUGACUGCCCUAUGGGUUGUAAACUUCUUUUAUAUGGGAAUAAAAUGUUCCACGUGUGGGUUUUUGUAUGUACCAUAUGAAUAAGGAUCGGCUAACUCCGUGCCAGCAGCCGCGGUAAUACGGAGGAUCCGAGCGUUAUCCGGAUUUAUUGGGUUUAAAGGGAGCGUAGGUGGAUUGUUAAGUAAGUUGUGAAAGUUUGCGGCUCAACCGUAAAAUUGCAGUUGAUACUGGCAGUCUUGAGUACAGUUGAGGUGGGCGGAAUUCGUGGUGUAGCGGUGAAAUGCUUAGAUAUCACGAAGAACUCCGAUUGCGAAGGCAGCUCACUGGACUGCAACUGACACUGAGGCUCGAAAGUGUGGGUAUCAAACAGGAUUAGAUACCCUUGUAGUC